rnacentral:lncRNA from 1 species
CAGUCAGAUUCCCUCACUAAUGCAAUUGCAGAUUCCUACAUUUCUUCCUGAAGGUGGCAGUAUUUUAGUGACAAAAACUGACAACAAGCUGAGGAACUGUACCAGAGCUCUCGGAGAUCAACAAAGGUGCCGCUUUUGAAUGUGAAAGUUUUUUCAAGACUUUUCUAUUUCUUGGUUUGAAUCGUGUGCCUGUAGGGACACAUGCUACCUGCUUACUGGACAGUGACUACUUAGGAUAAGGACUCAGACACACAAGUGGAGAAGAUAAAUAGUAAUUUGGAACCAAAACUCAGGACGUCCCAGGAGAGGCUAGAUUAGGAAUUCUUUGAUUUGGGAUCACGAAAAUGAAGUAUCCAUAUUUUAACAGAAUGAUUAGUGGCAGAGGAAUCAUCUAAGAAAACUGAGAAGACUCUGCCAGAGUGAUGGGAAGAAAACUAGAUGAGAAAGCACCAUUCUGGAAGACAUGCUCCCAUGAACCAUGGAGAGAAGAGGAGAGGGAAGAAGUUAUUUGUGAUGUCAUUUGCCUGUGUCAUGGCCUGCCUUCCCUAGAUAUUGUCCUAAUGUGAGCAUCACACCUAAGGUACUGAAGUAGAGUUCUGGCUGUUCCUUACGGACAUCUCUGGUGCUACCGUGUGAAAAAGGACAUGUUUGCUUCCCCUUCUGCCAUAAUUGUAAGUUUCCUGAGGCCUCCCCAGCCAUGCAGAACUGUG